ACAUAUUGUUGAGUUCUUCAUUGAUUUAUGAGAUGAAUUUGGCUCAAUAUCUUAUUUUUUUUUUUAUUUUAGAGGAAAGGAUUAAAAAUGGUUGUGAGAAAUUUGCAUGAAAACACACAUGCCUAACCAAAAGGGUGAUCUUUCUUACCCUCAGAAUUGACCAAAAAUGUGGAUAACAUUUCAAUUCUCCAUUUAUGAAGAUAAGCAAGAAUUUAGAAAAGAACAAAUAAGUAGGAAAGCCACAAAGUAGGUGACAAAUGAAGAUGAAGAGGGAGUGGAAAGUGUAACUCAUUUUAGGAACAAAGCUGUGGAUUAAAGACUCUAAGGAGACUUCUUCAGGCUCUAUGCUCUGACAAAAGGAGUUCUGCGUUGGUGCAUAAUUUUCUCACAGAUCUUUGGUUCUUUGAUGUGUCUGAUGCACAAAUAAAAAUUUUCUUGAGAAACACACGCAUGGGUUCCAUCUGACUUUUUUUUCUUCAUCAAUCUGUAUGUGAACAUAUAUAAUUUUGAUAAUUCAGACCUCAAUAGCAUGCAAGACAUGACCAAAAGAUUUCUGGUU
rnacentral:lncRNA from 1 species